GCAUAUCAAUAAGCGGAGGAAAAGAAACCAACAGGGAUUGCCCUAGUAACGGCGAGUGAAGCGGCAACAGCUCAAAUUUGAAAUCUGGCUUCGGCCCGAGUUGUAAUUUGCAGAGGAAGCUUUAGGCGCGGCACUUUCUGAGUCCCCUGGAACGGGGCGCCAUAGAGGGUGAGAGCCCCGUAUAGUUAGAUGCCUAGCCUGUGUAAAGCUCCUUCGACGAGUCGAGUAGUUUGGGAAUGCUGCUCAAAAUGGGAGGUAAAUUUCUUCUAAAGCUAAAUACCGGCCAGAGACCGAUAGCGCACAAGUAGAGUGAUCGAAAGAUGAAAAGCACUUUGAAAAGAGGGUUAAAUAGCACGUGAAAUUGUUGAAAGGGAAGCGCUUGUGACCAGACUUGCGCCGGGCAGAUCAUCCGGUGUUCUCACCGGUGCACUCUGCCCGGCUCAGGCCAGCAUCGGUUCUCGCGGGGGGAUAAAGGCCCUGGGAACGUAGCUCCUCCGGGAGUGUUAUAGCCCGGGGCGUAAUGCCCUCGCGGGGACCGAGGUUCGCGCAUCUGCAAGGAUGCUGGCGUAAUGGUCAUCAGCGACCCGUCUUGAAACACGGACCAAGGAGUCAAGGUUUUGCGCGAGUGUUUGGGUGUAAAACCCGCACGCGUAAUGAAAGUGAACGUAGGUGAGAGCUUCGGCGCAUCAUCGACCGAUCCUGAUGUUUUCGGAUGGAUUUGAGUAGGAGCGUUAAGCCUUGGACCCGAAAGAUGGUGAACUAUGCUUGGAUAGGGUGAAGCCAGAGGAAACUCUGGUGGAGGCUCGCAGCGGUUCUGACGUGCAAAUCGAUCGUCAAAUCUGAGCAUGGGGGCGAAAGACUAAUCGAACCAUCUAGUAGCUGGUUACCGCC
rnacentral:rRNA from 1 species